GCCUGUAUAGAUCAAUGCUAGAUUAUCUCAGUAUUAUUGGUGCGUACGAGGUUUACCACUGAGAAGAUGGAGGUUCAAAUCCUCCUACCGGCA